rnacentral:misc_RNA from 1 species
GAGAUUCAUAGCUCUCAGUUCUUUGUUAUGUGCGAUGAUUUUGUUAAAAUUGGUUCAAUUUACCGUAAAAAGGGUGGUUUUUUAGCUCUUUUUAUUAUAUCUGCUGAUUAGUUUUGGACACAAAUCCUAGCCUUUGUCACAUUCAUUUCAGGUAUAAACCUGGAAAAAUGAAAAUGUAGGGGGCAGUUCUACUCUUCCCGUUUUAUAUACUUGUAUUUUGUUUUUUUUUCAAUAAAUUUUAACCAAAAUUGU